GCCGGAAUUGCUAGUAAUGGCAGGUCAGCAUACUGCCGUGAAUACGUUCCCGGGCCGUUGUACACACCGCCCGUCACACCAUGAGAGUUGGGGAUACCCGAAGCCUGUGAGCUAACUAUUUAUAGGAGCAGCAGUCGAAGGUAGAAUCAAUGAUUGGGGUGAAGUCGUAACAAGGUAAC
rnacentral:rRNA from 1 species